rnacentral:tRNA from 1 species
UCCCUCGUGGCUCAGUUGGUAAAGAAUCUGCCUGCAACGCAGAAGACCUGGGUUUGAUUCCUGGGUUGGGAA